GCAUAACGCGAAGAACCUUACCUGGUCUUGACAUAGUAAGAACUUUCCAGAGAUGGAUUGGUGCCUUCGGGAACUUACAUACAGGUGCUGCAUGGCUGUCGUCAGCUCGCGUCGUGAGAUGUUGGGUUAAGUCCCGCAACGAGCGCAACCCUUUUCCUUAUUUGCCAGCGGGUUAAGCCGGGAACUUUAAGGAUACUGCCAGUGACAAACUGGAGGAAGGCGGGGACGACGUCAAGUCAUCAUGGCCCUUACGACCAGGGCUACACACGUGCUACAAUGGUCGGUACAAAGGGUUGCUACCUAGCGAUAGGAUGCUAAUCUCAAAAAGCCGAUCGUAGUCCGGAUUGGAGUCUGCAACUCGACUCCAUAAAGUCGGAAUCGCUAGUAAUCGCGGAUCAGAAUGCCGCGGUGAAUACGUUCCCGGGUCUUGUACACACCG
rnacentral:rRNA from 1 species